CCUACGGGUGGCAGCAGUGAGGAAUAUUGGUCAAUGGCCGUAAGGCUGAACCAGCCAAGUAGCGUGAGGGAAGACUGCCCUAUGGGUUGUAAACCUCUUUUAUGCGGGGAUAAAGGUUUCCGCGUGUGGAUUUUUGCAGGUACCGCAUGAAUGAGGACCGGCUAAUUCCGUUCCAGCAGCCGCGGUAAUUCGGAGGGUCCGGGCGUUAUCCGGAUUGCUUGGGUUUAAAGGGAGCGUAGGCCGGUCUUUAAGCGUGCCGUGAAAUUUUGUGGCUAAACCAGGGGAGUGCGGCGCGAACUGGAGACCUUGAGUGCGCGGAAGGCAGGCGGAAUUCGUGGUGUAGCGGUGAAAUGCUUAGAUAUCACGAAGAACCCCGAUUGCGAAGGCAGCUUGCCGCAGCGAUACUGACGCUGAAGCUCGAAAGCGCGGGUAUCGAACAGGAUUAGAUACCCUUGUAGUC
rnacentral:rRNA from 1 species